rnacentral:misc_RNA from 1 species
CUCUUUCUCUCUCUCUCGCGGCACUUUUCUGUUUCGCAUCCUUGCGGGAACCGUCUUCUCCAAACGUAGCCUAAUUGAGCAAAAGCGAAUAAGAUGUGCACUCACGUUUUGCAGCUUGACCAAGAACAACUCAUCGAGAAACUCAAGAUCUUCAAGAUCCAGGGAAGAGACAAGCAUAGCCGCAAGAUCCUUUGCAUUAUAGCCAAAUUCUUUCCUGCUCGGUUUCUGAGUGUGGAUGUGCUUAGGAGUUACUUGGAGGAGAAGAUCUAUCCUUGCCUAGGGAAUAAGCCGUUUUCUGUGUUGUAUGUUCAUACCGGAGUUCAAAGAAGUGAGAAUUUUCCUGGAAUCUCAGCCUUACGAUCUGUCUACGACACGAUACCAAUCAACGUCAAGGAUAAUAUCCAGGCCGUUUACUUUGUCCAUCCAGGCUUACAGGCCAGGCUCUUCCUCGCUACCUUUGGCCGCCUUCUCUUCAGCGGCCGGUGAGGCGCAUUUUAAUAUUUUUCUGUAUUAAGCCUUUUGUUUACUUAUUACCAAUGAGGGCGGCAGUGGGAUUGUGUGUGGUAUGCUGUACGGGAAGCUGAGGUAUAUCAACAGGAUUGACUCUCUGUGGGACCAUGUAAGGAGGAAUGAGGUUGAAAUUCCUGAAUUUGUUCAUGAUCACGAUGAGGAUUUGGAGUACCGUCCGAUGGUGGAUUAUGGAUUGGAAAGUGAUCAUCCUAGAUGUACGGUCCACCCACUAUGGAUUCUCCUGUUGCUGUGUACUCUAUGAGGUGUAUAUCGUAACGUAAAUUAAAUCGGCAAAAACAAUGAUUGAAUUUUUGUUGUUGGGCGGUAGCCCGUAGGCUUAUAGUGAGAGAAAGAAUGGCGAGGUCCCGCUUAUUUUAUGUAUAUUAGACCUUGGACCAGGAUGAGAGAGAGAAACAGAGAUAUUGACGUAAUUUUCUUAGUUUUAUAUUGGGUUAGUUAUAAGAUAAAUUGUUAUUUUUUU